rnacentral:rRNA from 1 species
CCCUUAGAUGUUCUGGGCUGCACGCGUGCUACACUGAUAUUGCCAAUAUGUCAUUCUUAUCCGAAAUGGAUUGGGUAAUCAAGUCAUGAAAUUUCAUGCUUGGAAUCGGUAAUUGCAAUUUUAUCGUGAACGAGGAAUUCCUAGUAAGCACUAGUCAUCAGCUAAUGUUGAUUAUGUCCCUGCCCUUUGUACACACCGCCCGUCGCACCUACCGAUUGGAUGGUCCGGUGAAGCCUCGGGAUUGUGGUUCUUGCCGCUUUAUUGUGGCGUGACCGCGAGAACUUGUCUAAACCUUAUCAUCUAGAGGAAGGUGAAGUCGUAACA